rnacentral:lncRNA from 1 species
AUCUAAAGCGAGAGGUUCACCUAACAUCACAAUUCAAUAAUAAUAAGCAAUAUCCAAAAUACGCAGCGGUAAACGAUAGCCAGAUAACUAGCAUUUUACUAAUUACUAGCUCAUCACCAAACUCAAACUCGAUUAAAACCAGGGUUUAACAACACAAAACACAAUAUAAUAUAUAUAACAAACUCGGGCCCUAGUGACGUUAUGUUCCUCCUUCACUAUCGGUAAUAUCCUAUCUUCCUACCAUAAAGGCCAGAAGAAGGAACUUUCAACCGACCGCGGCCCACUGUCCUUCGGGUCACCGCGCGACAGCCCACAGUCCUUCGGGUCACUGCCACAUUACACCGUCGUGUAAUCACUCAGCCAUAGGCCAUGACCCCAUCCAGCGAAUAAGGGGUUUCCUUGAACCCACCGGGUACGAGGUCUGAAGGAACACUAACUCACCCCAAUAUGCCUAGUAUUGUGGGUUACACAAAUGCUAUCAGCCAAUAUAUGACUAAUACUAAACCCGGUAAUAUAACACAAGGUUCCUAGUAUUAAUCGCAAAUUAACACAAUCAAUCAUAUUCCAGAAUCUAGCACAAAACUAAUUCCAGAAUACCUAAGUAUCCACAACUUAGCGAUAUCAUCUAAGCAUUCCGCAUUCGCUAACUAACCAAUCAACCUAACCAUUAGCAUGCUCCUACGGUUCUCAAGCAAUAAUAAGCAUGCCAUCAACUCAAUCAAAAUAACCUCAAUUAUUAACUAGUCAAACCGUUACUCAGUUAGACCCGGCCUCCUGCCAUGAUCCAACUUCCAAGUAACAGGACCCUACA